rnacentral:rRNA from 1 species
UUCUCGGUGGUCAUAGGAGAGGGGCAACACCCGUUCCCAUUCCGAAUACGGAAGUUAAGCCCUCUACCGGCGAUGGUACUAACGGAGUGAUUCGUUGGGAGAGUAGCAAGCUGCCGGGUU